UAUGCGAUUUUGAAUGGGUGGGUUUUGAGAUGGGAAUAGUGUUGUUGCAGGUAAGCGCUCUCUGGAUGUUAUGGAAAAGCGUGUUGGAAAUGGAAUACAUCAUGACUUGAAAUCUGUUUGGGUGAUCAACAACGUGCUCGCUGUGCGCACUUUGCCUGCUUUGUGGAUAAAAUCACGAUUUCGACAUUUGUCUCUCAAAGUAAAUAAGUCCCAGCUGAUGCAUCUGUGAUGUUUUCUUAUUUAUUUAUUUUUAUUCGCUUAUUUAUUUAUUUUGCAGCAGCAGCAGCAGCAGCAGCAGCAGCGGGAUGUCGACAUUAAACAGCGGGGGUGUGAUUGUUUUCUCUGUUACUUUAUUUUAAAUAAAUUAACGAGUGGUUUGAAAAGAUGCGUUUGUUUGUUCUUUCCUGACUCGCUGUAAACUUUUAAUUGUGCUGUUGAGGGCAGUCUUCCAUGCACUUUAUAGACUAACAGCUCCAGUCACACGGUGGAAUUCCUAUUAUUGGGCCAUUGUUUAUGAUUAUUGGACAUUUCCUAAAUCCUACAGAAUACUUUUGAAUUAGUGUCCAAUAUUUUGAUAUCACAAAAGGAGCACAUAAGGUCGUUGAUGGGAGAAUUGUCUGAUGCCGCUGUAGCAAAGCACAAGGAAAUCUCCCCGAGAGCUUAAAGGCAGCUUUGCAGUCAGUGGAGGCUAUUUGCAAAACGUGGCAAUGGCAUCAGCUUGUUUACUGCCCUUCGUGACAAAAGGUGCUCGCACAUGAUGCAUCCAAGUACAAAGAAAGCAGACAGCUGUCCAGACACAGCACUUGAAUUUGACCACUAAAAAUCGCCUCUAUACGUCCACCAUAAAACUCGCAAUGGCUGUAGUAACACUAAAUCCUUUUGUUGUCCCCCCCCCCCCCCCCCCCCAAAAAAAAACAAAGCUGAGAAUGAAGGGAGUUCAGAUGUUGCUAACCAGAGAUUGCGCGCACCUCACAGCACAAUACUCCAUCGGGCAUAUUUUGCUUCAAGUGACGCAAUGUCAAGCAAAAGAACGUUUCCGCGUUGCAUUUAUUUCAUUACAACGAAGAAUGUAAGACUUGAAGUGGGGUUGAACGACUAACAUGGUCCAAGGGAAUAUUUGAGGCGACAUACAAGACACAAGGCCCCUGUAUGACGUCCGGCCUGGCAGUUGUUGCACAUGCAGCGUUAAAGGAAUAUUAGUAUCGGCCUCCAUGACACAGACUGCUGUUAUCAGACUGCAUCCAGUUGACUCCACAGGAAUGUGCGUGAUUUUCAGCUACACAAGCGCGUGAAGCACGAGAAUGAAGGAAAUGUGAAGAUUGAGACUGCACGUUGAAAAGUGCGAGCAGGUUCCAAGGAAGCAAAUCGUUACAAGCGUGCACGGCCAAUGGGCCUUUCGCAACAUUUACAUUGGGGCGUUUGUCAUCAUGUGUCAAAACGGGAGCAGCAAACGUCCAUCACUUGGAAAUAUUUGCCUGUUGGGGCUUUUAAGACUGCCUAUCGCCGCACUGGUGCGCGCGCAUGAGCAAAGAAUGAGCUUUAUCGUGUGUUUAUUUCCUUGGAUGGCUGACUCACAGCAGCUGAUAUGCUUCUCGCAGUAGGACCCUGGACUACCACCCGCCUACUCCUGCGGGUUGCUUGCACCAAAUGCGCAGCCUGUUUGCGCAAAAAUGCCAGGUGAUCAAUAGCACGUCGACCGCUGUCAAAUACGAGCGAUUAUGCGAUAUCGUCGUCGCGUCUUUGUUGAGAGCUGCUCGCAGAAGGCGUUGCCCUGCACGCAAACGCCAGCUCCGUCUCGAUGAGCGACACUGUGCAAUCGGUUCGUGUCCUGACACGCAUGUCCACGAGCACCGAGGUCAGGAAGAAAAUGGAGCUGUGCCGAUUCCUCGCGGGACAUAACGAUUCGAGUGAGCGUGGACCGAAAAGACAACAAGAAAAGCUCACAAUGCUGGACGCAAACGCGUGCUCGUGUUGCACUUCAGACAUACGCACGCAGCCGCACGAACUAUCAUAUCCUUGCUUGACUGAGCCUUGGCAGAAUGCAGCGCUUGCUGGCUGCACGGUACACAGCAGACAAGGCCGACUUUUAUCGCUUCAUUGCUUCUUAUGCAAAUGUGCGCACCUCCGGUGCAAACCAGGGCACGAGGGGGUGCAUGUAUGUAAAAAGAA